CCUGCUUAUUUCCAUAUGGACAGUCAGGUAGUGCGCUUCCAAAUAGUUUCGGUUGGGCUGAGGACGCGUUGUUGUCACGGUGGAUACUUCUCUAUCGUCUUUAAAGUGGGACUUUAACAAACGACGAGCUUCAUUUCACCUGGACACGUUCCCGGCUCUUGGACAGAUGCUGCAUGAUUAAAAAUUGGCUGAUGCUUGUUUGCUCCAAUGUAAGUUUGAGGGCCACCCCAGACCUCAAAGCUUCUUUCCUUUCUUCUGAGAGGGUUGCAGGUGAGCUGGAGGCUCUCCCACCUGACUUCAGGCACCAGCCGGGGUACACCCUAGACUGGUCACCUGUCAUUCACUGGGACACAUAGUCAAGCAACCUUUAAGAGAAGAAUGGAGGGAACCUACCGCCCCAGCGCAGAAGAAAGGAAACCGGCCGCAGCAGGUGGAUCCGAAAAGAACGGCCUGCCUUUCCCUUUGCCCAAAGAAGAACGCCUCAUAUGAUUUACUCCACAUUAUGUUGCAACUUCCCCACUGACCCCUUUAUCAACCGUGUGGAUGAAUACCCCCACGCACUUGUGGUGAUUAUCCAUUCUUGACACACCAGAUACAUUCUUGAUACAUUCUGACACACCAGACACUUUUUUCCCCUUUUGAUUCACUUAUUGGAUUAAAUAGGUCAUCAAAUAUGUCACCAGUUUGGCUCCAUGACAAAGAGAAAUUUGAACUGAACUUGGCUUUGUAUUUGAAUUGAGGUUUGUUCGUUUUUACUGCACUCUGCAUUGUUUAGUCUAUAUAAAUAUACAGAUAAAUUAUGUAUUAUGCAUGAAGGAUAGUGAUUGACACUGGCGAUAACUAUGAUGCACUUUUAUUCUGUUGAAUUUUGUACGUAAAAAUAAUGUGUACGUAAAUAAAGAAUAUGUGAACACUA